ACAAAACAAAACAAAACAAAACAAAAAAACACCACCAAAAAAACACCACAACACAAAAUCCAGCAGUGUGUCUGCCCGCUGAGUCUCCUCAAUGAAUGGGGAAAAAGUGUAUUUAUCCCGUGUCCCAUUUCAGUGACGACCGUCCCGGCUCCGCCCACCGACAUCCUAAUAAGGAAAACAAGAACAAAGAGAAAGAAUUCGGCAGACAGAGUGGGAGGGUCGUCACAUCUUUAAAAAGAGAAAGGUUGGGUUGUUAAUGCUGGGUUAAUUCUCCUGCCAAAUCAAAGUUAUCCAGCAAGCUCUUGAAUGAGGAUUGUUGCAGCUGUAGCAAGUCUAGCAGACAGUGCCGCCUGCUCAUAGUGGAAUUACUUUGAGGGAUAAAUGGGCAAGGCGCUAUGGCUGACCAAAAACUAUACUAAAGAUGACACGAUCCCACCACCAGUGUAACGAGUUGGAAAGAACACUGCCCGCCCAAACAUUGAGGCCUGAAUCAUAUUUGAGAAUAAGCUGGAACCAAUAUGGCUGAAUAUCUCUACCAAGCAACUGAAUAUCUCUGCCAAGAACAAGAUACCUGACCCUUUGUUCUGAUUCUGGGGACAGUCACCUCUACUCCCUGGAAUUCAUCAUGAAUGAGCAAGCUCUGGAGCAGGAGACUUUGUUUUACAAAUUCCACUUGAACAUGAACUGUAGGGGUUGGGGGGAGUAGUGUAAACUUUACUUUUCUUCAGCCCCAUUACUCAGCUGUAAUUGGUAGGGCCGCUGUGAUUUUUAAAAGUAUGGUUGUGCUUCUAAAGUUAAUUUCUGUUCUUUAUUUGUUUUAUAUUUUGCAUGACUUCAUUUUGUAGCUAAAAUGUAUAUCUUAAACAUUUUGUAUUGUCUACAAUUUGUUGUGAUUGGCCAUAUGUCAUUUUAAGAAUGACAUGUUGUAACACUUAUUUUUGGAAGUAUUUGUAAAUUAACACCUUCUGUAAAAGGUAAGAAUUAACCCACUGCUGGGUCAAAUGAAUAACAAUAAAACUGUAAAAAGCAACC